CUUAAGUGGCCCAUCCUUUAUAAAGUGACCUCCAUGGUGGAAAACAACUUCGAAAUGAUCCUCCAUGUUAUACACUAUAACACUAUAUAUCCUAUAAAAUAAUAAGACGACAACGAGAACAAAAAUUAUAUAAAAUUAGAAGCAGGACAAGGAAACAUGGGGGACCAACUACAACAUAACUUAAAAAAAAAAAGAACGCAAGAAACAAACAUGGGGGACCACAUUACAACAUCAAUAUAAAGCACAACAACAAUUACGGUCUACUAUGACACUUCAAACAUGGGACCACUUUGCAACAACAAUUUCAAGAACAACAUAAAUAACACUACCACACCACUUCGAACAUGGGGGACCACCACUGACCAUGAAUCAUUGUCAAAAAUAUAGAAACAAGUAAACAUUUACCAACCUGGACACAUGAGUCACUGCCAACGACCUUCGCAAAACUGUACCACGUGAGUCACCGCCAAAAAUUAGCUGCUUCCAGUCAAAAGAACCGAUAGAUUGCUAUAAUUUUAUGCACUGAAAGCUUAUGUGUAAGGAACUUCUCACGCAAAAGUGAUGCUCCCCAAAUGCCACCACAAUGACGAACCCAGCAACGAACCCUAAGUUCUCUAAUUUCUCACACACGAUCACUCUGACCCCAAAAUAGGAAACAGUCAUUUAAUAUGUUUAAUAAUUUGUGCUUUUAAAAAUUUAACAAUUAAAAACUCUGCUUCUAAUAUGUUUAAUAAUUUCUGCUUCUAAUUAUAUUUUCAGCAUUAUUUUAUUAAUUUUGCUUUUAAAAAUUUAACAAUUAGAAAUGUUAUUAUCCACUUAUUUAGCUCAAACGUUGCCAUUGGAUCAAACGCUACCACCUGGUUACCUCAGCUUCCCACAACUUAACGUCGUUACCUUCAUUUAACAGAAAGGCUAUUAUUGCAUCAAAUUGACUAAAUUAGGGACCCAAUUGAUCAAUUUCAAAAUUGGAGAACCCAAUUGAAACAAACCU
rnacentral:lncRNA from 1 species